AGAGUUUGAUUCUGGCUCAGGAUGAACGCUAGCGGCAGGCCUAAUACAUGCAAGUCGAGGGGCAGCAGGGGUAGCAAUACUCGCUGGCGACCGGCGCACGGGUGCGCAACACGUAUGCAACUUUCCUUCAACUGGAAGAUAGCCCGAAGAAAUUCGGAUUAAUAUUCCAUAGUUAUAUGAAAUGGCAUCAUUUUAUAUUUAAAGCUCAGGCGGUUGAAGAUGGGCAUGCGUUCGAUUAGCUAGUUGGUGAGGUAAUGGCUCACCAAGGCUACGAUCGAUAGGGGAUCUGAGAGGAUUAACCCCCCACACUGGUACUGAGACACGGACCAGACUCCUACGGGAGGCAGCAGUAAGGAAUAUUGGACAAUGGAGGCAACUCUGAUCCAGCCAUGCCGCGUGAAGGAUGAAGGUCCUAUGGAUUGUAAACUUCUUUUGAACGGGAGAAAACCUUCGGUCGUGUACCGAAGCUGAUAGUACCGUUAGAAUAAGGGUCGGCUAACUUCGUGCCAGCAGCCGCGGUAAUACGAAGGACCCGAGCGUUAUCCGGAUUUAUUGGGUUUAAAGGGUGCGUAGGCGGAAUGGUAAGUCAGUGGUGAAAUCUUGUGGCUUAACUGCAAAACUGCCAUUGAUACUGCCAAUCUUGAGUACAUUUGAUGUGGGCGGAAUGUGCCAUGUAGUGGUGAAAUACUUAGAUAUGGCACAGAACACCGAUCGCGAAGGCAGCUCACAAAACUGUUACUGACGCUGAGGCACGAAAGCGUGGGGAUCAAACAGGAUUAGAUACCCUGGUAGUCCACGCCUUAAACUAUGAUUACUCGAUGUGUGCGAUACACAGUACGCGUCUAAGCGAAAGCGUUAAGUAAUCCACCUGGGGAGUACGGUCGCAAGAUUGAAACUCAAAGAAAUUGACGGGGGCCCGCACAAGCGGAGGAGCAUGUGGUUAAUUCGAUGAUACGCGAGGAACCUUACCUGGGCUUGAAAGUUAGUGAAUGCUGUGGAAACAUGGCAGGCCGCAAGGACACGAAACUAGGUGCUGCAUGGCUGUCGUCAGCUCGUGCCGUGAGGUGUUGGGUUAAGUCCCGCAACGAGCGCAACCCCUAUCUUUAGUUGCCAGCGAGUAAUGUCGGGGACUCUAAAGAAACUGCCCGUGCAAACGGUGAGGAAGGUGGGGAUGACGUCAAGUCAGCACGGCCCUUACGUCCAGGGCUACACACGUGCUACAAUGGCGAGUACAAAGGGCAGCUACAUGGUGACAUGAUGCUAAUCUCUAAAACUCGUCUCAGUUCGGAUUGAAGUCUGCAAUUCGACUUCAUGAAGCUGGAUUCGCUGGUAAUCGAAUAUCAGCAAUGAUUCGGUGAAUACGUUCCCGGGCCUUGUACACACCGCCCGUCAAACAAUGGAAGCUGAGGGUACUUAAAGUCGAUAACCGCAAGGAGUCGCCUAGGGUAAAAUCGGUAACUGGUGUUAAGUCGUAACAAGGUA
rnacentral:rRNA from 1 species